rnacentral:lncRNA from 1 species
NNNNNNNNNNNNNNCUCCAGGAGAAUCAAUCUCUUCACUGCCUUCAGUCAGUGGAAUGUCUACAAGAUCAGAGACAACUGAAUUCUCAACAACUUUCUCUUCUACAACAAACAAUUCAGUGCCCAAAGCUACAAUUUCAAGCACAACACAUUCAUUGAUUCUUUCCACACAAGGACCAACCCCUCUCUCAGCCUCAGCCACUACUACAAUGGCUCAGUUUUCUGAAAUCCCAACCAUUCUCUCCUUGGAAACAACAACAACUCCUUCCUUCUCUAUGUCUUCCACACCAGGGACAACUCAUUUGUCAACAAACUCCACAGAAGCAUUUACCUCUUUUCCAUCCCCAGUCAGUGAUCAAACAACAUCUGAAAUAACUCAGUUCUCAACAACCCUCCCUUCAGGAGCACCAAUAGCCAGCUUUUUGCCCAUCACUUCAAUUUCAGGCACAAUACAAAUGUCAACAAGCUCUACACAGGGGUCUAACACUUCCCUAAGCACAACCAGUGCCACAGCAAAAAAAAUAACUGAAGUUAUGACUCCUUUAUCUUCAAUAACAAUAGCUACUUCAGGGCCCACCUCUUCAACAUCAAGAACAGUGCAUUCUGCAACAACCCCCAAAUGGGGAUCUUUAGUUACCCCAACCUCUUCCAAUGUUACCACUUUAAGUAUUUCUCAAGUCCCAAGAACAUUAUCUUCAGAAACAAGCAUAACCACAGCCACUUUAGAGCCUUCAACAUCAGGGACAACACAUAUGUCAACCAACUUCAUGAAGGCAUCUUCCACUUUCCCUCCUUUAGCCAGUGCUACAACCACAAGAUCAGAGAAAACUGAAUUCCCAACAACCUUCUCCUCCACAACAACCACUUCAGUACUCAAUGGUACAACCUCAAACACAACACAUUUAUCAAUCCCUUCCAUACAUGAAUCUAGCACUCUUUCAGGCCUAGCCAGUAGUACAAUGGCUCAGGUUUCUAAAGUCCUAACCACUCUCUCCUCAUGGAAAGCUGCAGACACUUCAGUCUCUACCUUUUCCACAUCAGCCAUAACACAUUCAUCAAACAGUUUCUUACAUGAAUAUACCACUCCCUCCACCUCCACCAGGGAUGCCACCUCACAGAUGUCUGAAGGCACAAGCACCUUCUCUUCAGAAACAACAAUAGCCCCUUUCUUCUCUACCUCUUCAAUAUCAGGAAUAACCCAUUUGUCAAGAAGUACCAUAGAGGCAUCUGCCUCCCUUCCAUCUCCAGCAAGCACUGGAAUGGAAACAUCUGAGGCAACUAAGUUCCGGACAACCUUCACUUCAGGAAUACCCAUAGACCCCUUCCUGCCUACCACUUCAACCUCUGGCACAACACACUUGUUAACAAUCCCCACUCAGGGUUCUACCAUUGCUCUAAGCUCUUCCAGGGUCACAAAAACAAACAAAACUAAAGUCAUGACUCUUUUAUCUUCAGUAACAACAGUCAUUUCUGGAAGCACUUCUUUACCACCAAGUCCCACAAAUUCAGCAAUGGCCCCCAUACAGGGAUCUUCCGCUGUGCUAAGUUCAGCCACUUCUACAACAACAAAGAUAACUGAAGCCCGAAUCCCUUCUUCUUCAAGAACAACAAAUGCCACAUCAGGGUCCACCAAUUCAGCGUUAAGGACAAUACAUUCAGCAAUAACUCCCACAAGAGGAUCUACAGUUACCUCAGCCUCAACCAUUGGUAACACAUUAGUUAUU